rnacentral:rRNA from 1 species
UACGGGGGGGGCAAGCGUUGUUCGGAAUUACUGGGCGUAAAGGGCUCGUAGGCGGCCAACUAAGUCGGAUGUGAAAUCCCCAGGCUCAACCUGGGAACUGCAUCCGAUACUGGAUGGCUUGAAUCCGGGAGAGGGAUGCAGAAUUCCAGGUGUAGCGGUGAAAUGCGUAGAUAUCUGGAGGAACACCGGUGGCGAAGGCGGCAUCCUGGACCGAGAUUGACGCUGAGGCGCGAAAGCCAGGGGAGCAAACGGG